ACGGGUGAGUAACACGUGAGUAACCUGCCCUUCAGUGGGGGACAACAGUUGGAAACGACUGCUAAUACCGCAUAAGACCACAGUGCCACAUGGCACAGUGAUCAAAGGAUUAAUUUUCGCUGAAGGAUGGACUCGCGUCUGAUUAGCUAGAUGGUGAGGUAACGGCCCACCAUGGCAACGAUCAGUAGCCGGACUGAGAGGUUGAUCGGCCACAUUGGGACUGAGACACGGCCCAGACUCCUACGGGAGGCAGCAGUGGGGGAUAUUGCACAAUGGAGGAAACUCUGAUGCAGCGACGCCGCGUGAGGGAAGAAGGUUUUCGGAUUGCAAACCUCUGUCUUCGGGGACGAAACAAAUGACGGUACUCGAGGAGGAAGCCACGGCUAACUACGUGCCAGCAGCCGCGGUAAUACGUAGGUGGCAAGCGUUGUCCGGAAUUACUGGGUGUAAAGGGAGCGCAGGCGGAACUGCAAGUUGGGUGUUUAAUCUACGGGCUCAACCCGUAUCAGCAUUCAAAACUGUGGUUCUUGAGUAAUGCAGAGGUAGGCGGAAUUCCCGGUGUAGCGGUGGAAUGCGUAGAUAUCGGGAGGAACACCAGUGGCGAAGGCGGCCUACUGGGCAUCAACUGACGCUGAGGCUCGAAAGCAUGGGUAGCAAACAGGAUUAGAUACCCUGGUAGUCCAUGCUGUAAACGAUGAUUACUAGGUGUGGGGAGAUUGACCCUCUCCGUGCCGCAGUUAACACAAUAAGUAAUCCACCUGGGGAGUACGACCGCAAGGUUGAAACUCAAAGGAAUUGACGG
rnacentral:rRNA from 1 species